rnacentral:rRNA from 1 species
CCUACGGGAGGCAGCAGUGAGGAAUAUUGGUCAAUGGGUUUACGCCUGAACCAGCCAAGUCGCGUGAGGGAAGACUGCCCUAUGGGUUGUAAACCUCUUUUGUCAGGGAGCAACGCCGGCUACGUGUAGCCGGACUGAGAGUACCUGAAGAAAAAGCAUCGGCUAACUCCGUGCCAGCCGCCGCGGUAAUACGGAGGAUGCGAGCGUUAUCCGGAUUGAUUGGGUUAAAAGGGAGCGUAGGCGGAAUGCCAAGUCAGCGGUAAAAUCGCGGGGCUCAACCUCGCUCCGCCGUUGAAACUGGCGUUCUUGAGUGGGCGAGAGGUAUGCGGAAUGCGUGGUGUAGCGGUGAAAUGCAUAGAGAUCACGCAGAACUCCGAUUGCGAAGGCAGCAUACCGGCGCCCAACUGACGCUGAAGUACGAAAGCGUGGGUAGCGAACAGGAUUAGAUACCCUGGUAGUC